GCUGGGUGUGGUGGCGCACGCCUGUAAUCCCAGCCACUCAGGAGGCUGAGGCAGGAGGACUGCUUGAGCCUGGGAGGUCAAGGCUGCAGUGAGCCAAGAUGGAGCCACUGCUCUCCAGCCUGGGCAAUAGAGUGAGAAACUGUCUCAA
rnacentral:SRP_RNA from 1 species